rnacentral:tRNA from 1 species
UAGUUAGAAAGCGAAAUUUAUUGCAUCUAGUUUCGACCUAGACUUUGGCGUUAGCCUCUAAUUAA